rnacentral:rRNA from 1 species
UACGGAGGGGGCUAGCGUUGUUCGGAAUUACUGGGCGUAAAGCGCGCGUAGGCGGCUUUGUAAGUUAGAGGUGAAAGCCCGGAGCUCAACUUCGGAAUUGCCUUUAAGACUGCAUCGCUUGAAUCCAGGAGAGGUGAGUGGAAUUCCGAGUGUAGAGGUGAAAUUCGUAGAUAUUCGGAAGAACACCAGUGGCGAAGGCGGCUCACUGGACUGGUAUUGACGCUGAGGUGCGAAAGCGUGGGGAGCAAACAGG